rnacentral:rRNA from 1 species
AUUGAACGCUGGCGGCAGGCCUAACACAUGCAAGUCGCGCGGAUGAAGGGAGCUUGCUCCUGGAUUCAGCGGCGGACGGGUGAGUAAUGCCUAGGAAUCUGCCUGGUAGUGGGGGAUAACGUCCGGAAACGGGCGCUAAUACCGCAUACGGCCUGAGGGAGAAAGUGGGGGAUCUUCGGACCUCACGCUAUCAGAUGAGCCUAGGUCGGAUUAGCUAGUUGGUGGGGUAAAGGCCUACCAAGGCGACGAUCCGUAACUGGUCUGAGAGGAUGAUCAGUCACACUGGAACUGAGACACGGUCCAGACUCCUACGGGAGGCAGCAGUGGGGAAUAUUGGACCAUGGGCGAAAGCCUGAUCCAGCCAUGCCGCGUGUGUGAAGAAGGUCUUCGGAUUGUAAAGCACUUUAAGUUGGGAGGAAGGGCAGUAAGUUAAUACCUUGCUGUUUUGACGUUACCAACAGAAUAAGCACCGGCUAACUUCGUG